UACGUAGGGGGCAAGCGUUGUCCGGAAUUAUUGGGCGUAAAGCGCGCGCAGGCGGUAUUGUAAGUCUGUCGUUUAAGUUCGGGGCUCAACCCCGUAUCGCGAUGGAAACUGCAAAACUUGAGUGCAGAAGAGGAAAGUGGAAUUCCACGUGUAGCGGUGAAAUGCGUAGAGAUGUGGAGGAACACCAGUGGCGAAGGCGACUUCUGGCUGUAACUGACGCUGAGGCGCGAAAGCGUGGGAGCAAACAGG
rnacentral:rRNA from 1 species